rnacentral:lncRNA from 1 species
CUGACGGCCAGGCUUGCACAGUGGCAGGCAUCAAGAUUGUCCGGAGCCGGGCUGGUGAGAUGGCUCAGUGGGUAAGAGCACCCGACUGCUCUUCCGAAGGUCCGGAGUUCAAAUCCCAGCAACCACAUGGUGACUCACAACCAUCCAUAAUGAGAUCUGACAACCUCUUCUGGAGUGUCCGAAGACAGCUACAGUGUACUUUACAUAUAAUAAAUAAAUAAAUCUUAAAAAAAAAAAAAAAAAAGAUUGUCCGGAGCCUCCAGGAAAUAGUCUCUGUAAGCUGCUGGGUCAGCAUGGUUCCCUGAUGUAGGUGUCCGUUUACCCCUGCCUGCCAUGUUGGCAACGGACUUGGAACCAUAAACCUGGGGCAAAGUUUACAGACCCGUUCUUGCCAGCAGUAAACAGGGUCGCUUAUCGCUGACUGGGACUGCUGAGCAAAGGUAGACACUUACUCCAGAAACUUUAAAGACAAUGCAGGACAGGGGUUGAGGGUGUGGGAAGAAGGCAAGCGUACAGCGAGGCUGAUCAACUCGUAGUCCUUGCCCUUCUGUGAGAGUGGAAGUUCAAGACUAUUGGGGUAUCAUGUGGGGAGGGACAGCUGAGAGGGUAACCAGGGUAGACUGGGACAGACGGCUAUGCUGAGACCUGG